rnacentral:rRNA from 1 species
GACGAACGCUGGCGGCGUGCCUAAUACAUGCAAGUCGAGCGAAGCGGCGGAUGGGUGAGUAACGCGUGGGUAACCUGCCCUUAAGUCUGGGAUACCAUUUGGAAACAGAUGCUAAUACCGGAUACUAAAGGAUGGACCUGCGAUGCAUUAGCUAGUUGGUAAGGUAACGGCUUACAAGGGAGAUUAUGAAGAGCCGAUGUGAGAGACUGAUCUGCCACAUUGGGACUGCGAAACGGUCCAGACUCCUACGGGAGGCAGCAGUGGGGAAUAUUGCACAAUGGGCGCAAGCCUGAUGCAGCCAUGCCGCGUGUAUGAAGAAGGCCUUCGGGUUGUAAAGUACUUUCAGCGAGGAGGCGUUACUCGCAGAAGAAGCAUCGGCUAACUCCGUGCCAGCAGCCGCGGUAAUAC